GCAGAGUCCACUGUGGAUGAACCGCGAGCACAUUAGGCCAGCAGAAGAAGCCAGCACAAAAGGCCACACGUGUGACUGCCUGACACGCGCAGAAGAGGGAAAUCCACAGAGACAGAAGAUGUAAUGGCUGAAGCUCCAGCAGUUUCAACUGACAGUGCGGCUAGAGGCCAACACAGACAGAGCCUGGUCGCAGAUGACCAUGGAACCACCAUCUAGUCCUGGACUUCCUAUUUGCUGAACUAUUUUUCAUGAACAAGAAACAAAAUUAGAUAUGGUUCAAACCA